UAUAGCAGUGAAGGACGCCCCAUCUAAUCAAGCAUCAGCACAAGAGCUUAUGACCGAGCUACGGGUGCUUCUUGAACAAGCGAAAGCUAAUAAUACCAACACAAAAGGGAAAGCACCAAUGGAGAGCAACAAUGAAAAGAUGUAUAUGGAUAACCUUGAACUGAUCAAGAAUUGUUGGAAUAAUGUGAGUGAGCAGUUUGGGGAAAGGAACGGCAAGGCUUGUCUUAUUAUUUCCAAGUUGGAGAGCAUUGAAGGAUUACUUAAAAAGCUGCCUGCAACAAACCGUGCUAUGAUUGAACCAUGUUAUUCUAGUCUUUGUACUGAGGCUGUCAUCGUCAUGAGUAAAAUAACAGAUGGUAUAAAGAUUGGGUGUGAUGAGAAUCAAUGCCGUCUAACUGCCAGCGUAUUAGUUAACUUGCUAAUGGAACCGUCUUCUUAGCAAAUUAUUAAUUCGUGCAUCUCAAUCGCCGCCAUCCACUGUACUGUUUAUUUUUGUGGGAAGAACGUCAUGGAUUCGGGGCAUAAUUGUAAAAAGAGAAAGAGUGAUGAUAUAGGAAGAGGUUCUGCUGAUAGUAGAUUAGACUCCAAAAAAAGAAAGAAAGAAAAACCCAUUGAUAGAUUAAGCAGCUUAACAGAUGAUCUCAUCCAUAAAAUUCUUUCUUUUGUUAGCAUCAAAGAUACUGUGGAAGACAUGCUGGUUUUGUCAUCUAGAUAUAGAUUUAUCUGGACUACAUUGCCGUACCUCAAUUUCUCAUCAAUUGAAGAUUUUUUCUCAGCUAAGAAAUUUUCCAAGUUCGUUAGACGGUUUCUCAAACGCCGAGAUGGUCAAAUAGACGUGUAUUCUAUGAAACUCAGUUUUCACGAAGAGGUUAUGCAGCGAUUUGUCAAAAAAACUAUGGAUUAUGCAUUCUCUCACAACAUCCAACAGCUUGAAGUUACAUGCUUGUUUAAAUACCUCACUGACUUGCCUCUUUCUCUGUUUAGUUCGAUGUCUCUCAAACAUCUUAGUUUGGAAGGAAAACUAUAUCGAUCAAUGUCCGGUAGAGAAUCAACUUUGGAACUCCCAGCCUUAACAACAUUGUGUCUCUGUAAUGUCGAGUUAUCUAGUGAUGACGAGAGCAUUGGUAUUUUCUCCAAGUGUACGUGCAAACCUGAAGAAUCUCACAUUGAAAAGCUGUGAAAUAAGAGAGAGAACGAGUAGCAGUUUCAGUAUUUGUCGUCAUCCUGGACUAGCAAAUCUCACACUUGAUGAAGGCCUCCGGAAUGUAGAGGUUGUUAAUGUAGUUGCACCUCAACUCGAGAAUCUCAUUAUCAGAGCAGGCGAUCAUAGUAGGUUGCAUGUGAUUUCAGCACCUGGCCUUACCUCCUUGGUUUAUGAUGGUUACCGCCCUUUGUACCUUUCAACAGAUGGUUUCCCUUGUUUGAAGCAGGCAAAUAUUUGCUGUUCAGAUCCAUAUUACAACAAAAGAAUGAUGUGGCUUGCAGAUGCUGCUCAUGAGAUUGUUUGUCUGUUUCAACAGCUCUGCCAUGUCGAAUUUCUCACACUUAACUUGGAAAUCAUUGAGCUUCUUUCUUCAUCCGUGGAACUAAUCUCACAUCAAACUUCUCCGUUUGUUAACUUAAAGAAUUUAACUAUUUAUCCAAAAAAGCUUUCCGAGAGGGAAAGUCAAUCUGUCUACUGAAGUACUCAUAAAUAACUAUUUGCUGGGUAGUUCACCGGGGGCCCACCUUCACAGUGUUUUCCCAUGAGGAAAUUAUAGCUAUGAAGGACGCCAAGUUGGCACAAAAACUUAUGACAAGCUUACAAACACUGCUAAAGAACGAAAUGAUGACGAUAGAUGUCCAUCACAAUUGGGAAGAUGUGAAUAUGCAGAUUGAGAAAGGAAAAGAAAAGACUUGUGACAUCUUAGACUGUUUGAGGGAAAUUAAUGAUGUGGUGUUAAAGCUGCCAACUUCAAAGAGGGCUGAGAUGCUAGCAAGUUUUUCUAGUUUGUGUGCAGAAGCCGAAACCGUUGUAAUUAAAAUAAUACAUCGUUUUAAUUUACAAUCUAAUAUGAGCCAUUUUAGUGUGGGUUUCAUAAAGAGAUUGCUUCAAAGUUUUAACCAUCUCUUUAGCAAAUUGUUCCAGUGUUCUUUGUUACUUCCCCAAUGCAAUAAUAGUUAACAACAGGUUCUGCAACUAGAAUGGAAAGGUUCAGAUUUCUGCCACUCAACUUCUCAAGGAUAAAAGUUUUGCUGAUCAAGUGACCAAUGAUUACGUUAUAUCUAUAAGUACGGUAGUCAGAAACUCAGAAUUGUUUUUGGAAUUGGAGAAAGUUUCUCCCUUUAUUUUUGUCGUUGGCUAAUUGUCAAUUUUCCUUUUUAGUAUUAGACGUCUGGAAUGGACUACUGAUGAUCAUGAUUGGAAAUGUUUUUUUUAA